CAGUAGCCACGGUAAUACGGAGGGUGCAAGCGUUAAUCGGAAUUACUGGGCGUAAAGCGUGCGUAGGCGGUUCGUUAAGUCUGUUGUGAAAGCCCCGGGCUCAACCUGGGAAUGGCAAUGGAUACUGGCGAGCUAGAGUGUGUCAGAGGAUGGUGGAAUUCCCGGUGUAGCGGUGAAAUGCGUAGAGAUCGGGAGGAACAUCAGUGGCGAAGGCGGCCAUCUGGGACAACACUGACGCUGAAGCACGAAAGCGUGGGGAGCAAACAGGAUUAGAUACCCCUGUAGUCCCUGUCUCUUAUAC
rnacentral:rRNA from 1 species